GGGGAUUCCCAGACACGGCCCCUUCCCCGCUGCGGGGCUGGGGCCCCCACACCCCUGUUCCAGGUGCACUGGGGCCACGGGGUGGUCCUGAGCCCACGGGGUGGUUUGGGGCCACGGGGUGGUUUGGGGCCACGGGGUGGUUCGGUGCCGUGGGGUGCUUGGGGAAAUUUGGGCUGCUUGGGGGCUAUGGGGUGCCAGGGGUUGAGGGGAGCUGCCAGGACUGGGGGUGCUCGGGGUCACGCAUUUUGGGGUUGGGGGGAGGUGUGGGGCAGCCCCCCAGUUCCCCUCGCCCUGCCCACGCUGGGCCGGAUCUGGAUCCGGGCUCUCACCGCGGCUCCUGCCCAGGGCGCGACAACUGAGUCACGGCCCCGCCGCCGCCUCCGCGGCGCAGGUCUCAUCCUGCCACCGCCAGCCCCGGCAGGCAGCGGGGCCGUGUGGGGCCGCGUGGGGCUCGGCACGGCCCCGUGGCUGCCGUGGGGCGUGCGUGGGGCGUGUGCCGAACCCGGUGCUGUGCCGAGCCCGGCGGCGCCCACGCGGCUGCGCCCACCUCGGCACCGCACCCUGCGCCCCCGGGACCCUCCUGCACCGGCUGCCUCGCCUCGGCUCCUUUCCACCUCCUUCUCCCUCGCCUCGGGGUCCCCGUGGGGUGCAGGGUGGUGGCCGCCCCCCUCGGUGGCCUCGCUGCCGGGACGUGGGGCACACCACGCGCUGCUGCUGGCCCCCAGAGCGAGGGGCUCAGGGUCUCUGCUCCCGCAGGCACCGGUGGCCGUGGCGGGCGCUGCUCCUGGCCUGGCUCAGCCUGGGCUGCGGCAUCGGCACCGCGCAGGGCUCAGCCCCGGAGGUGCUGGUGCAGGGCCCCGAGCCCCCUGCCCGUGCUCGGCCUCGCCGGCAGCUGGCUCGGGGCACUUGGGGACCCUGGGGACCCUGGAGCGCCUGCUCCAGCUCCUGCGGGGACGGCGUCGCCUUCCGCGCCCGGAGGUGCCUGCGAUCCCCCCCGGAGGAGCCGUGCACGGGAGACCCGCGGCAGUACCGGCUCUGCCAGCUCCAGGUGAGCGCGGCACGGCACAGCAUGGCACAGCACGGCACGGCACAGCACGGCCCCGUGGGUUCCGUGCUCCUGGCCCCGUGGGCUCCGUGCUCCUGGCCCCGUGGGCUCCAUCCUGCCGCUCCCGCAGGGCUGCCCC
rnacentral:lncRNA from 1 species